CCUCCCCCGCACCCCCUCUCCACGCCACGGCCGGCUCACGGGUCUGUAUCUUCCGAUCUGGGAUUAGCAACGUAGCCUGAUCCGAGUAUUCAUUAAUACCGUGAGCACUUAAUAGUGGAGAUGGUCAUCCCAGGUAACCAGAACAUCUGCCUCACCAUCUGAAGCAACACCAGCUAGAUACUGCACCCCUGCAAAGGAAGGUGAACAGUAAGGUGGUUAAUGCUCAUUAAUUAUCCUUGACCAGGGUCAGGAGUGCCUGUCACCCACGAAGUGACAGCAGGGGUCAUCUGGUGCUGCACAGCAGUUUUCAACACUCCCAAAUUCCUGUGACACAUAAAAGAAAGGGUCUUCCCCAUGAGCCUGGAGUACUGACAACGGAGAAGGAUUCUGGUCCAAAAUGGCAAAGUAGCUCUCCACAGACAGUGGAGCAGGAAAAUAUGAGUCUAGUGUUGUGCUAUUCUUUCUAGCAGUACUUUCCACUCUACAGAAGCCUGAAAUGCUGGGGAAAUUUCUCCCUCAGAGUAAAAAAAAAUAGAUAAAUUAUAAGAAGUUCAUCGUCUGCCUAGAAUGCUUUGAACAGGUAUCACUUGGCCACCACAAUCUACACCUCAUUUUGCAGGGUGGAGUAGGAUAAUAAAUUUCAGCAUAUAAUGAGGUCACCAUAGCAUAUAGGCCAUUUGACAGUACUUGCAUCCUGUUCAGAAGGUCAUCUUUUCUGUCUAAUCUCAAGCUCCCAAAUAUUCCUAUAAAUCACCAGGUUUGGAAGCCUUGUAUUUAGAGGUUCAAAACUGCUGGAUAAGGAGCUCUCUUGUCCAUUUACACAGAGUUUUAAUAUAACCUGGAAGUCAGGGAAGUUUCAGAAAGCAGCAGAUUUUUUGUCAGCAUUUUUAAGGAGUGAUGUCUGUAGUAAUUAAAAAUUUCUCUACCUGAGUUUGAGCUUAGGUGAAGUAGCGGCACAUCUAGUACAGGACUUAAGUAGCUAGCUGAAAGGGAGGUAAUACAACAAAUUUUGCUUAAGAUUAUGGAAACUUUAUGUGGACACAGUUUCAUGUCGAUUUCAUAUCUUUCUGAUGAUAUGAAACUUGGUUCUUUAUGUAAUAGGUGAUGAUAUUGUCUGAAACAUUAAAAUUAUUAAAAGCUAACUUCUCUGUCUUAAAUUGUUAUUGUAAAGACAUUAUCAAGUUGGUCUUUCUUUAGUAGGAUCCCACAGAGACUGCUUAAGUACCCUAUACUAUUUAAUAUUUUUACUAACAAUCAGAAAAAAAAUCUGUACUUCUUCUUAGCAAAGCUUGUAGGAGGUACAAAGCAUGGGGCAAGGGGCGAAGGAUGCUUAUGGCUGCAUAGCCCUAAGUUAAGUUUAGGCAUAAUCACAUCAUAUGUAUUUCAAUCAAGCUAAAUGUAAAGUCUCACAUCUAGGAACAAAGAAUGUAGGUCACACUGAAAGGAUGUAACUCUAUCCUGCAAAGCUGCAAUUCCGUAAAGACUUCAUUAAGAUGAAUAAUCAGCUGAAUGUGAGCUCCUUCUGCAGUGCUGUGACCAAAGGGCCAGUGCUGUCCUGGGAAAAAAACAAGCUGGGAGUUCUUUUACCUCUGGUUUUGACUCUGUUAUGACUGUUUUGGAAAUAAUUUGUCCAGACAGCACUUCAAGAAGGAUGUUUAAAAAAGUAGAGUGGUUUCAAAGAGUAGUAAAGAAUGAUUACAGGACUGUCAGGCAUGUUUGUAGUGAGACCCAAAGAGCUCCAUCUAUUUUAGCUUUCUAAGGAGAAGGUUAAGGUGUGAGGUGAUCGUACCUUAUGAGCACUGAAACAGGAAGAAAAAUCUGGAUCUUCCGCUUAACAGACAAAGAGAUAAGAUCAGAAGGUGAUGGGAAGCAAAUUCAUGAAUAAAGUGUGCUUUUGUAGUGAAUAGAAUCAACUGUUGAAACAGCUUACCAAGAUUUAUGGUAGAUUCACCAUUACUGGAUUUAUAAAAAACAACACCAGUUGGGUUUGGUUUCGGAUUUUUUCUAUAGAGACAGACAGGCUUGACCACAGCUGCUAAAACUUAACCAGGAAUUGACCUGGAGAGUCCUAGAAUACCAGAGUAUCAGACCAAGACAGACCAAGGGGUCUCUUCCAGUCUUAGGCUUUCUUACUCUACAGAGGCAUCACGUGCAUAGUACGUGUCUCCCUGCACCGUGUGGCACCCAAAUUCCAGUGGACAGUCUCCAGCCUGUGGCUGUGCUGCUUUAUCAAGGAAAAUUGGUGCAGACCAGAAGGAGCCUGGGUGCAAAAUAACAUGUGCAGUAUGACCCUCUGGGAUACCAGGGCCAAGGUAUGGAUCUGAAGAAGGGGGGCCUUAGUGCCCCCCAAUUUGUAGCCAAAAGUAUAAACAACUGUGAAAUAUUUGGUUAAGAUGAAAGGUGUUUACACCCAGUAAUCUUGGAGAAGGUCAACUAUGCUCCAAGCAGGGGACACACAGCAAUAGGAAGAAAAAAAUUAUGAUACCUUGCUCCUAAAAGUGGCACUGUUUUCAAUUAUGGAUAAUUGUCUUACAGCAUAGUAACAAUAGUUAUUCUUUGCCCAAAAUGGAGAUGUCAUCCAUUACUUUGUCUGGGUUCUUUUUUAAGAGAAAUAUACCAGCAGCUGCACAUCCUUGCACAUACUCUCUUUGGUAUGGUUUUGGAUACUGCCUCUGGCAGAGCUGUCAAAGCUGUGCAUUGCAGACUAGGAACCCCAUGGCCUUAGUCUUUGCAAUAAUGCCAGAGUAAGUGCUUAUGUAGGUGUCUGCAGGAGCAAGAACCAAGGAAGAUUCUGAACCAUUCCCAAAACUGUAUGUAUAGCAUGAUUAUUUCCACUGCAUUGUUCACACUCUAAUAAAGGACUCAAAGCAGGUGCUGAGUGCAGUGUAAGCAUAAUAAUGUAUCUUUCCCAAAUCUUAAAAAGAUCCCAGUCCUUUUCAUGGCUCAUGACCACUCUGAACCACUAAAAAAGGAGGUAGGGUUCUGUGCUGAAGUAACAGACCAUUCCAAUAUCAUGGCUUGCAGGGCCUGAAAAUUAAAGAUCAGGGGCUUGCAUCAGCAAAGCCUUAACAGCAUAAGUCAAUGAAAUCCAGCUUGGAGAAACACCAUUUGAAUACCUGCCUGUCACGGUUUUUUUCUGUCUUCAAGGGGUUUUAUUAUUUGCAGUGCCCUCAAAUACACCUUUCCAGCUAAAGACACAUUCAUGUGGACAGCUCUUUGUUUUGUUUUUCCUUCCAACCAAUGCUUUUGUGUAUUUGUGAAACUUAAGACACCUCCUCUGCUACUACAGUACUUAUCUGUAACACCAUCGCUUUGAGGGAUUAAAGCAGGUUACUUGUUACACACUUAGAUCAAGAGUUAUCUGAGUAGAAAGUCUAUCCCGUUAGGGUUGGCGGAAUCUGUUUUUGAUCUUGAGUUGUUUUGAUUUUCUCUAAGAGCAAGUAACAUGUUAUUUUAACUUCUGAAUAAGGUGUGCUACCUGACUGUGUCUCUUCUGUUUGGCAGAAAGGAUUAGAAACCUCCACAGAACUUGCACUCUAUUAAAGCAGAGUGCUCACCAUUGAGAACCAAGGAGCUGAAUUGUUUUCAGAUUAUAUGUGUGUGUGUGUGUCUGUGUGUCUUUCCCACAUCAAAGACUUUGAUGGAAGCUGUUCACGCUAUUGUCAGGAAUGCAGGGAUUGGCACAAAGGUGAUUAGCAAAAUUGCUUUUCUGUAGGAGAAGCACAAAAAUUAUCAAAGGAUUAAAGAGGAUAAAAUUAAAAGGUUAUGCUGAAUUUGGGGGCAAAUUUUCUGCUUUUAAAUUUUUCCCAAAUUAUGCAUAUUGAUUUGGUUUUACCUGUAAAAUAUUUGCCAGAAGAAACAAAGAUUAGAAGCUGUUUCAUAUGGGUUCUGUUAAAGGGAGAUGAAAAAUCUUCCCUUAAAAAUAUUCUCAACAGACCCUAUUCCAAACCCCAUCCAUAAGAGGCUUUUGAUGAGUACUAAGGGCACACAGCUAGCAGCCAUCCCUACAAUGUUGUUAACAGCCUCAGGAUUGGGACCUUUAGUCACGAUUACACUGAAAAUUAUGAUAACAAACAAUUCCAUAAAUCAGUUUGUCAUCAGUGAUGCUGUUUGUUUACUUUUCUCACUACACUCUGCUGACAAGAUACUAAACUGAGGGGAUCACUUUCAUUAUCCACUUGCUAGGCGCAUGCAAUGUUUUUGUAUUUUGAUCAAGCAGCUGAGCUGCUUGAAUGGUUUGGGGAAAAAGGCAAUAAAAAGGAUUCUCAAAUAUUUUAGUGUAUCAAAAUGAACAGAGCCUUCCAGAAUCUUUCUUGCUUGGCAAAACUGUAGUGCAAUAAAAAAAAAAUAAUAUAUCACCUCCCAUAGCCAGCAGAAUUGUCUCAUCUUGCUGGUUCAGAUUCUGUUUAUUGUGCAUUUUAUUUUGAGCAGUCCUGUAUUAUUUGCUAAGUACAAUCCAUAUACCUAUUUAUUGUCUUUGCAUUUUGAAUUUUGUUUGUUUGUUUUACUAAUCUGUUCUUCCCAGGAAGUCACCCAGAAUAUUUUAUUUGUUUUAAACCUCAUUUAUCAAAGUAUUAUCUAAAGCAUCUGUUCAGAAAAUGUUCAUUUUAACUGUUUUCCCAACAAUGACCUUCUUCCUCCCCCCCAGGCCACAUCAAGUUGUCAUUCACCAGACAGCUGUGGAAUUUGGAAUCAUUCCUUUUAAACGCUUUACAAUUCCAAAUGGUAGAUUUCUAAUGGCACAAUAUGAUUGCCACAAAGAUCUUUAAAUUUCCCAAUCCUCCAGGCUUCAAAGGCUGGACCGUCCUUGAUCUCCUGAAGGAAUGCUUUUGAAUCUUGUUCUUUUAUAGGGGCUACCUAUGAAGAUAUUUUAGGGGCUUUUUCCUUUUGUACUUAAAACCUGAGGAACUAAACAUUCAAAUACCACUGGCUUUUUUGGGAGUGAGAUCAAGACAUACAAAAUUGUUUCUAGGGAUUCUCAGCUCAGUUUUUAUCAAUUCCACAGGUAGUUCCAAAACUUUUUGGAGUAUUUAUAAAGCAAUAUAAAUAUCUUUGGUGUAGAAGUGACUGUGAUAAUGUUUUAUCCUGCAUUUUCCUUCCACCUACAUGACUACAUUGUGCAGUUCCUCACCUGCCAAGAGCAAGUCUUACAGUGCCCUGACUCAUCCUGUGCCUAUGGGUACAGAGGGGUUCAUUGCUCUUGGAGGAUUCACUGCUGUCAUAUCACUUACAUGGUAAUAAUUUGUUUAAGAAAAGUGAACAAACCUAAUCCUACAAAUAGUUUUGGGUCCGCCUUGACCAGGCAACCAAGACAGAGCUUUAUUACCUACAACAACUACAAAUAUGCAAAAUUAUUAGAGUCCUAGGCUUACAUCUUUCUUUUUCUACAGUCAGAGGAAACAUUUCACUAUUUGUCCUUUCUUACACAGUAGGAUUUCUCUAUCUGACAUUUUUUAUUUCUUGCUGGUUAAUUUUGUUUCUUAUUACUGAAACAUAGAAUUCAUAAAUUUGAAGUUAAAAGAGUUACAAUACAGCAACAGGAAUCUGGCUGGUGCUAGAAACAGCCUUUCUUUCUAUUCAACUCAGCUUAUGCCAACCCACAAGGCAGGUUUUACCCUUUCCUCUUAAAAGUAAAUUACACACAUAUAUAAAAAAAAUUGAAGACAUUAUUCCACUUUUCAUACACAGUAGGUUCUAGUCCUGCAGCAAAGCACCACACUUGUGCACAGUCCCACCACACAGAUUCAUGAUAGAUUUGGGGUCUUCAGCUGUACCCACCUUGGGUGCAGCACUGUCCUUUCUUUGCUCCUACAGUACCUCAUACAGCAUGAUCUCUGCUGUGACCAAGCCCCUCAGGUAUUGUUAUAAGGAGCAAUUAAUGCUUUGUCACUGCAGUAAGUGUAUGUUUAGAUUCCCCGUAUUGGUAGUGCACGUGAUUUUUAAAUAGUCCGCAGCCUAACCUCAAGUUUUGUGACGACAAUAACAAACUGCAGGAACCACUGAUUACUAACCCAGUUUAUGGGUCAGGGAACAGGCCUUAGAUCCUCAUUUACACAGUUUCUUAUGAUCACCUAAGACCCCACUCUCCAAGACUAUUUUUAUUUGUUUGUUUAGAUCAGUUUAAAAAAAAAAAAUCCCAGGUCCCAAAAUAGAGAAUGUUUUCCUUUGGAACUGGAAGCAAACACACUUGAUGGCUUUAACAUCUGUUGGACAAUGCAUGGUUGGGUGGUGGGCACCUCACACAGUUUUGUGACAAACACAUGUGCAUGCAGCGUGUCAGAUUAUAAAUCCAAGAAUAAAGAGUCAUUAAAACCUCCCUUCUCUAGCCCACCUGCCAUGAAAAUAGCUUUUCACUCUAUCUAUUUAAACUGAAAAUUGAGUAUUCGGAAGAAAAAUGCCAACAUUCCAGGGAUUCAAGUCAAAAUCACCCCCUCCAGUAAAGGAGGUCUGUCAAUUGAACAUAGAUUGAUCCAUUGUCUGUCUCCCAUCAGGACCCACAAGCCACCCCGUGCACAUAUGCUUCUAUUCUGGCUUGAAACAGAGACCUCACAGUCCCAGGCCAUCACAGUAACAUUUACAUCUGUCAUGGGCUCGAUCAGAAACUGUGCAAUUCUCAACUACCUUUCUGGUUUUGCAGCCUGUUAGCACAUGGUGUAGUUUUUGGGUGCAGAUUGAAGUGAGAUUGGCUUGCUACCCAGCAGAGCAUGAGCCCUCUCAACUCCACCAUGAGCACAAACCUUCCUGCUCUUGGCAGGGACAAAAGGAGAAAGAGACACCUGAACACUGGAUCAACUCUUAUCAGAAUUCACUUGAUUGCCACGAGUGCUAAAUUUUGUCCUUUCUCUUUUCCUCCAGUUUGCAGUGGACUUACCAUUGUUAGUAUGCCUGAAUUAUUAGUAGCAAUAUAUUGAAAUGCAUUUCAAGGACAAAACAUCCAGGCUGGGAAAGAUGUCCAUGCCCCUGCAGAGGAGAAAAGGCUUCUGAUUAACAGUCAUAGGUUGUAACUCUUGAAACUGAAUUUACUAGUAUGGUGAAACCUGGCAAACCACAGUGCUUCUCACAGAUUAUUCUCCUCAGAUGUGAUUGUGCUUCUUCAUCUGUAUAGCCAUUGUGAGCCUUUAACACACUCUGAGCCUAAUAACUGCAUUAGUAAUGCCAGGAGGAAAACAGCUUUCUAAGGCAGGUACAGCCCACAGCACUUUCUCCCUUUUGGUUAUGUCUUUUUCCAUGCACACACAUACAAAUGUGCCUUUUUUUUCCAGCAUGAGUCUCUGUACAAGGAACCAGUGAAGCCAUCUCCUUGCUUAUUUUCUGUUGUCCCUCUGAAGUGUAGGACCCAUUUGUUGUGUGGAUGCCCUGGCAGGUGUUUAGAUGUGCAGGUGUGUGCACAGGCAAAGUCCUGAGCGCAAGAACAAAGAUUCAAAUAUCAGAACCUUUCAGCCUGAACCUGACACUGCCACUUUAAAACCAGAGAUGUGGACAUCAAAGUUUUCCACCCCCAGAAGGAAAGGACUAUUUUACAUCCUUCCAAAUGAUGUCUCUCAUCUCUCUGCCUUUCCUACAGCCAUCUCUCUCUCUCUCACAUACACACUUUUUCUAAUACCAUCCCUCCCUCUCCACUUCAAACCAUGGGAAAAAACUAGGAAAAGAAGCUUGCCGACUAAGGGACCGUUUCACUGCAUUGUGUUUUCCAGCUAGACCUGAACAGACUGAAAUCAAUUC